rnacentral:rRNA from 1 species
GACGAACGCUGGCGGCGUGCUUAACACAUGCAAGUCGAACGGAAAGGCCCUGCUUUUGUGGGGUGCUCGAGUGGCGAACGGGUGAGUAACACGUGAGUAACCUGCCCUUGACUUUGGGAUAACUUCAGGAAACUGGGGCUAAUACCGGAUAGGAGCUCCUGCUGCAUGGUGGGGGUUGGAAAGUUUCGGCGGUUGGGGAUGGACUCGCGGCUUAUCAGCUUGUUGGUGGGGUAGUGGCUUACCAAGGCUUUGACGGGUAGCCGGCCUGAGAGGGUGACCGGCCACAUUGGGACUGAGAUACGGCCCAGACUCCUACGGGAGGAAGCAGUGGGGAAUAUUGAACAAUGGGCGGAAGCCUGAUGCAGAAACGCCGCGUGCGGGAUGACGGCCUUCGGGUUGUAAACCGCUUUCGCCUGUGACGAAGCGUGAGUGACGGUAAUGGGUAAAGAAGCACCGGCUAACUACGU